rnacentral:rRNA from 1 species
AGUGAACGCUGGCGGUAGGCCUAACACAUGCAAGUCGAACGGCAGCACAGUAAGAGCUUGCUCUUACGGGUGGCGAGUGGCGGACGGGUGAGGAAUACAUCGGAAUCUACUUUUUCGUGGGGGAUAACGUAGGGAAACUUACGCUAAUACCGCAUACGACCUACGGGUGGAAGCAGGGGAUCUUCGGACCUUGCGCGAUUGAAUGAGCCGAUGUCGGAUUAGCUAGUUGGCGGGGUAAAGGCCCACCAAGGCGACGAUCCGUAGCUGGUCUGAGAGGAUGAUCAGCCACACUGGAACUGAGACACGGUCCAGACUCCUACGGGAGGCAGCAGUGGGGAAUAUUGGACAAUGGGCGCAAGCCUGAUCCAGCCAUACCGCGUGGGUGAAGAAGGCCUUCGGGUUGUAAAGCCCUUUUGUUGGGAAAGAACAGCAGCAGGUUAAUCCCCCGCUGUUCUGACGGUACCCAAAGAGUAAGCACCGGCUAACUUCGUG